UACGUAGGGUGCAAGCGUUGUCCGGAAUUAUUGGGCGUAAAGAGCUCGUAGGCGGUCUGUUGCGUCGGCUGUGAAAACCCGGGGCUCAACUCCGGGCCUGCAGCCGAUACGGGCAGACUAGAGUUCGGCAGGGGAGACUGGAAUUCCUGGUGUAGCGGUGAAAUGCGCAGAUAUCAGGAAGAACACCGAUGGCGAAAGCAGCUCUCUGGGACGGUACUGACGCUGAGGCGCGAAAGCGUGGGGAGCGAACAGG
rnacentral:rRNA from 1 species